rnacentral:rRNA from 1 species
CAGUUAACGUCACAGUACGCAGGUAUUAACUACGCACCUUCCUCACUGAUGAAAGUGCUUUACAACCCGAAAGCCUUCUUCACACACGCGGCAUGGCUGGAUCAGGCUUUCGCCCAUUGUCCAAUAUUCCCCA